rnacentral:rRNA from 1 species
UACGUAGGGUGCAAGCGUUGUCCGGAAUUAUUGGGCGUAAAGAGCUCGUAGGCGGUCUGUCGCGUCGGCUGUGAAAACCCGGAGCUCAACUCCGGGCCUGCAGUCGAUACGGGCAGACGUGGAGUUCGGCAGGGGAGACUGGAAUUCCUGGUGUAGCGGUGAAAUGCGCAGAUAUCAGGAGGAACACCGGUGGCGAAGGCGGGUCUCUGGGCCGAAUACUGACGCUGAGGAGCGAAAGCGUGGGGAGCGAACAGG